GCCGGGCGCGGUGGUGCCUGCCUGUAGUCCCAGCUACUCGGGAGGCUGAGGUGGGAGGAUCGCUUGAGCCCAAGAGUUCUGGGCUGUAGUGCAAUAUGCUGAUUGGGUAUCAGCACUAAGUUCGGCGUCAAUAUGGUGACCUCCCAGGAGCAGGGGACCACCAGGUUGCCUAAGGAGGGGUGAACUGGCCCAGGUCGGAAAUGGAGCAGGUCAAAAUUCCCGUGCUGAUGAGUAGUGGGAUGGCGCCUGUGAAUAGCCACUGCACUCCAGCCUGGGCAACAUAGUGAGACCCCCGUCUCUU
ensembl:misc_RNA Metazoa_SRP Metazoan signal recognition particle RNA